rnacentral:rRNA from 1 species
AGAGUUUGAUCAUGGCUCAGAACAACGCUGGCGGCAGGCCUAACACAUGCAAGUCGAACGCUCGUAGCAAUACGGGAGUGGCAGACGGGUGCGUAACGCGUGGGAACAUACCCUUUGGUUCGGAAUAACUCAGGGAAACUUGAGCUAAUACCGGAUACGCCCGAGAGGGGAAAGGAUUUAUUGCCGAAGGAUUGGCCCGCGUCUGAUUAGCUAGUUGGUAGGGUAACGGCCUACCAAGGCGACGAUCAGUAGCUGGUCUGAGAGGAUGAUCAGCCACACUGGGACUGAGACACGGCCCAGACUCCUACGGGAGGCAGCAGUGGGGAAUAUUGGACAAUGGCGCAAGCCUGAUCCAGCCAUGCCGCGUGAGUGAUGACGGCCUUAGGGUUGUAAAGCUCUUUUACCUGGGAAGAUAAUGACGGCACCAGGAGAAUAAGCCCCGGCUAACUUCGUG